rnacentral:rRNA from 1 species
CCUACGGGAGGCAGCAGUGAGGAAUAUUGGUCAAUGGGCGCGAGCCUGAACCAGCCAAGUAGCGUGAAGGAUGACUGCCCUACGGGUUGUACACUUCUUUUAUAAAGGAAUAAAGUGAGGCAAGUGUGCCUUUUUGUAUGUACUUUAUGCAUAAGGAUCGGUUAACUCCGUGCCAGCAGCGGCGGUAAUACGGAGGAUCCGAGCGUUAUCCGGAUUUAUUGGGUUUAAAGGGAGCGUAGAUGGGUUGUUAAGUCAGUUGUGAAAGUUUACGGCUCAACCGUAAAAUUGCAAUUGAUACUGGCAGACUUGAGUACAGUUGAGGUAGGCGGAAUUCGAGGUGUAGCAGUGAAAUGCUUAGAUAUCACGAAGAACUCCGAUUGCGAAGGCAGCUUACUAAGCUGCCACUGACAUUGAUGCUCGAAAGUGUGGGUAUCAAACAGGAUUAGAAACCCGAGUAGUC